UAACGCGUGAGCAACCUGCCCUUAAGAGGGGGACAACGACUGGAAACGGUCGCUAAUACCGCAUGACAUAUCGGGAUGGCAUCAUCUUGAUAUCAAAGGAGAAAUCCGCUUAAGGAUGGGCUCGCGUCCGAUUAGCUAGUUGGUGGGGUAACGGCCCACCAAGGCGACGAUCGGUAGCCGAACUGAGAGGUUGAUCGGCCGCAUUGGGACUGAGACACGGCCCAGACUCUACGGGA
rnacentral:rRNA from 1 species